UACGUAGGGUGCAAGCGUUGUCCGGAAUUAUUGGGCGUAAAGAGCUUGUAGGCGGUUUGUCGCGUCUGCCGUGAAAAUCCGGGGCUCAACCCCGGACUUGCGGUGGGUACGGGCAGACUAGAGUGUGGUAGGGGAGACUGGAAUUCCUGGUGUAGCGGUGAAAUGCGCAGAUAUCAGGAGGAACACCGAUGGCGAAGGCAGGUCUCUGGGCAUUAACUGACGCUGAGGAGCGAAAGCAUGGGGAGCGAACAGG
rnacentral:rRNA from 1 species